rnacentral:rRNA from 1 species
UACGGAGGGUGCAAGCGUUAAUCGGAAUUACUGGGCGUAAAGCGUACGUAGGCGGUGUGUUAAGCUAGAUGUGAAAGCCCCGGGCUCAACCUGGGAAUAGCAUUUAGAACUGGCACGCUAGAGUCCUGAAGAGGGUGGUAGAAUUUCCAGUGUAGCGGUGAAAUGCGUAGAUAUUGGAAGGAAUACCGGUGGCGAAGGCGGCCACCUGGUCAGAGACUGACGCUGAGGUA